CCCUCCCCAAUCUAAUUUUCCCGCUCAAAAUUUCUUAGUGAAAUUCCGCAUUUGCCCUUACAGUCAAACAUAUACUCCUUCUUUUCAGUAGUUUCAAAUCGAUAUUUUCCAAAAAAAAAAUAGCAAGAAAUUUGGGAACAUUCUCUUGUUCAACCGUUUCUUCUACAAUUUCUCCAAUAUUUUUGUAAACCAAAUCAGUGCUUCAAAUUUUAAAAUACAUCAAAUCCCUAAAUCUUGGUGAUAUUGUUUAUAAUUAAAACGACAUGCAGUUUCCCUGGCCUAAAUCACUUUAAAGGAGACUACCACCACCACAACCUACAAUGUAUCGAACCUUUAUCUGUAAGAAGAUCGGAGCGUCUUUUAUCUUCCCACACCAUCAUCAGUUAAAAUAAUGUGUACACAUUCGUUUUUAGUGACCCUUUCCCUGGUAUUGCUCAGAUCAGAAUAUAAUGCAACAUGGUGAGGAUGUUGGAAAAAUCACCAUGGUUGUUCGAAGGUGAAAUGCUUGACAAUUCGAAGGCAUACUAAGUCACUUCAAGCUGCCUAAGCAAUUCAUACAUGUUUUCAAAGAUUGUUUAUCUGUUAAUAGGUUAUUACUUUUCAUCCUUAAUCAAAAUGUAUUCAAUCUCAUAAUGUAGUUGUGUUUCUGUAUCUUUCAAGGAUUGAUUUUGAGGAUGAGAAUUUAUUUUUUAUAUUUUCUAGGAAUGAAAUUGUGGAUCUUAAUGAAUUGGGAAAUGAAUCCAUUGUUGAGGUAUUGUCCUUACUCUA